GGCAGGCUUGGUGCGAAUACUGCCUCCUUAGAGCUCCAGGAACCCAGGAGGACACCAGGGCCCUGCUUUGACUGCCAGGCCAGCUCCUAGCAACACCAAGGCCAGCUGUGAACACCAGGCCAGCUCCUGUGUCUUUUUCAAAGUUCUUAGCUGUGAUGGAUCCUUGCAAUGAAAGAAUUAAGAAGGGCGGGUGCGGUGGUUCACGCCUGUAAUUCCAGCACUUUGGAAGGUCGACGUGGGAAGAUUGCUUAAGCCCAGGGCUCAAGGCCAGCCUGGGUAACAUGAACAAUUCUUAACGUCCAAAGAUAACGUCUUUCCUUAACGUCGAAAGAUGCCUUGUUGUGAUAUUACAGCAGUCAUUCCUGCUCACUACGGGCAGGCAGACAGUGCAGAAAAGGUGAAGCACAAAAACUAAAAAGGAAAAUCUCUCCUUGAACCACUGCGAACAGAUCCGAGUGCUGGGGUACUGCUGCCAGCUGGUUGGUGGAGUUCUGGUUGAACAGUGUCCCGCCAGGUCCGAAGUGGGGACACGUCUGUUGGUGGUGUCCACCCAACUCAGCCACUGCAGGACCAUCUUGCGACUCUUUGAUGACCUGGCCAUGUUUGUCUACACUAAGCAAUAUGGCCUGGGGGCACAGGAGGAGGACGCCUUUGUCCGCUGUGUCUCCGUCCUAGGGAACCUGGCUGACCAGCUCUACUACCCCUGUGAGCACGUGGCCUGGGCGGCUGAUGCCCGGGUCCUCCACGUGGACUCUUCUCGGUGGUGGACGCUGAGUACAACCCUGUGGGCCCUCUCUCUGCUCCUGGGGGUUGCCAGGUAAGUGGCAUGGGCCAGAAGGGAGCACCCAAGGUCCCUGGGCGGUGCCUCCUUAGCAAAGUGGCAGCGGCCCCAGCAACAGCACAGGCUUCAGACUGCGGUGGGUCUUUGCCUCUUAGAGUUUUCCUUGGAGGUUUUGUUGUUUCUUCCUUUUGUGGGUGUAUUUGUUUAGAAUAACUGUCGGAACAAAUUAGCACAACUCUGUAGUGCUGGGCAACAGAAACUUCUUAUCUUAGGAUUCUGAAGGCUGGAAGUCAGAACACUCCCUGGGCUAGUGUCAGCAGGCGCUGAUGCCUUCUGGAGGUCCCAGGGGGAGGUCCGUUUCCUUGGAUUUUCCAGCUUCUGGAGGCCACCCACAUUCCUUGGCUCAUGGCCCCUUCCUUCAUCUUCCAAGCAUGACCUCUGCUUUCAGCGUCACACCUCCUUCCCUGACCCUCAUCCUCCUUCCUCCCUCCUAUAAGGACCCCUAUGAUGACAUGGGGACCACCUGGAUGAUCCAGGGUAAUACCCCAUCUCAAGAUCCUUAGCUUAGGUUGGGCGUGGUGGCUCAUGCCUGUAAUCCCAGCACUUUGGGAGGCCAAGGCGGGUGGAUCACUUGAGCCCAGGAGUUCUAGACCAGCCU
rnacentral:lncRNA from 10 species